rnacentral:rRNA from 1 species
AGCGAACGCUGGCGGCAGGCCUAACACAUGCAAGUCGAACGCACCUUCGGGUGAGUGGCGGACGGGUGAGUAACACGUGGGAACGUACCUUUUGGUUCGGAAUAACGCAGGGAAACUUGUGCUAAUACCGAAUGUGCCCUUCGGGGAAAGAUUUAUCGCCAUUAGAGCGGCCCGCGUUAGAUUAGCUAGUUGGUGAGGUA